rnacentral:rRNA from 1 species
GAGCGGCGAACGGGUGAGUGAUAGCUGGGAAUCUACCUAUAGGAGGGGGAUAGCCACUGGAAACGGUGGGUAAUACCGCAUACGGUCGAGAGACGAAAGUGAGGGGACUUGAAAAAGCCUUCAGCCGAUAGAUGAGCCCCAGCGAAGAUUAGCUAGUAGGUUUGGUAAUGGCAGACCUAGGCGACGAUCUUGAGCUGGUCUGAGAGGAUGGACAGCCACACUGGGACUGAGAUACGGCCCAG